rnacentral:rRNA from 1 species
GUGAGGAAUUUUCCGCAAUGGGCGAAAGCCUGACGGAGCAAUGCCGCGUGAAGGAUGAAGGCCUAUGGGUUGUAAACUUCUUUUCUCAGAAAAGAAUUAUGACGGUAUCUGAGGAAUAAGCAUCGGCUAACUCUGUGCCAGCAGCCGCGGUAAGACAGAGGAUGCAAGCGUUAUCCGGAAUGAUUGGGCGUAAAGCGUCUGUAGGUUGUUUAAAAAGUAUUCUGUCAAAGAUUAGGGCUUAACCAUAGAUAGGCAGAAUAAAGUUUUAAGCUAGAGUUUGGUAGAGGCAGAGGGAAUUCCCGGUGGAGCGGUGAAAUGCGUAGCUAUCGGGAGGAACACCAAAGGCGAAGGCACUCUGCUGGGCCAAUACUAACACUGAGAGACGAAAGCGAGGGGAGCAAAUGGGAUUAGAAACCCCGGUAGUCC